rnacentral:tRNA from 1 species
GGAGGGUUAGCUCAGUGGUAGAGUGCAUGCUUGGCAUGCACGAGGGCCUGGGUUCAAUCCCCAGUAUCUCCA